CGCGUAGGCGGUCGAUCAAGUCAGGGGUGAAAUCCUGCAGCUUAACUGUAGAAGUGCCUUUGAUACUGGUCGUCUCGAGGGAGGUAGGGGUGUGUGGAACUUCCAGUGGAGCGGUGAAAUGCGUUGAUAUUGGAAGGAACGCCGGAGGCGAAAGCGACGCACUGGACCUCUUCUGACGCUGAGGCGCGAAAGCUAGGGAGCAAACG
rnacentral:rRNA from 1 species